AAACUAACAAGGAUUCCCCUAGUAACGGCGAGUGAAGAGGGAAAAGCUCAAAGUUGGAACCUGUUUGGCUUAGCUAAACCGGAUUGUAAACUAAAGAGCCGUUUUCCAGACGAGCUAAGCAAAAAAGUCCCUUGGAACAGGGCAUCAUAGAGGGUGAGAAUCCCGUCUUUGGCUUAAGCGAUUUCGUCUUUAUGUGAUACGGCUUCAAAGAGUCAGGUUGUUUGGGAAUGCAGCCUAAAGUGGGUGGUAAAUCUCAUCUAAAGCUAAAUAUUGGCGAGAGACCGAUAGCGAACAAGUACCGUGAGGGAAAGAUGAAAAGAACUUUGAAAAGAGAGUUAAACAGUAUGUGAAAUUGCUGAAAGGGAACCGUUUGAGGUUAGACUAGCUGGUCAGUAAUCAAUCUUGGUUUCGACCAUGAUGCACUUGCUGGCCUUUGGCUAGCCAACGACAGUUUUUUCUGUAGGAAAAAAUGUGCAGGAAUGUGGCUCUUCGGAGUGUUAUAGCCUGCUAUAGAAUACUACGGAAGAGACUGAGGCUCGCAGCGAACGCUAUUAUGGCGAGGAUCAGGUUAACUUUGUGAUAAUGUGUGCUACUACUCAGCUUGCUGCGGUAAUGCAUGUUGUUGUUUGGUAUUGGCUUGUUUACCUUUAGUUCGCUUGGGUCGUUGGCUUAAUGACCUUAAAUGAC
rnacentral:rRNA from 1 species